AGCAAGGCUGCGCUGUAGAAAGUGGAGAGGUAGAAAGCGGUAGUGUUAAUAUUGAAGUUAUUGGUGAAAAUAAUAAUGUUAAUGGUAAUAAUGCUAUUUCUAAUUAUAUGGGCGAUUUGGAUUUGAAGAACAAUCAUCGGUGUCUGUUUGUGGGGUGUAAGCUAAAGGCCAUGGCUUUGAAUAGUUUUUGUCAUUUGCAUAUUCUCUCUGAUGCCAAGCAGAAGCUCUACAAGCCUUGCGGUUAUGUCAUCAAGAGUGCUCAGUCAGGACCUAUAACAUGUGGAAAGCCAAUAUUGAGAUCAACUGUUCCUUCUCUCUGCACUGUACACUUCCAAA
rnacentral:misc_RNA from 1 species